UGGGGUGCUCGAGUGGCGAACGGGUGAGUAACACUGAGUAACCUGCCCUUGACUUUGGGAUAACUUCAGGAAACUGGGGCUAAUACCGGAUAGGAGCUCCUGCUGCAUGGUGGGGGUUGGAAAGUUUCGGCGGUUGGGGAUGGCUCGCGGCUUAUCAGCUUGUUGGUGGGGUAGUGGCUUACCAAGGCUUUGACGGGUAGCCGGCCUGAGAGGGUGACCGGCCACAUUGGGACUGAGAUACGGCCCAG
rnacentral:rRNA from 1 species